ensembl:lncRNA
AAAAGUUAUAAAUAAUUUUAGCAUGAAGCAUCUUUUGUUUUAUUUCAAGGGUUAGGGUUCAUUUCAAUGAUUUUCUUUUUUCACAAUAUCAGAAUUCCAAACUAUUCGUUUUUUUAAUAUAUAAAUAUAUUUUUAUUUUUUGCAUAAAGCAUAUGUUGAAAAGUUGUAUUUUAAGAAGCAAUCAUUUCAACAAUUUUCUUUUUCACAACACCAUAAUUUUUCACAAUACAUAAUUCCAGAAUAUGCUAUUUAAAUAUAUAUAAUUGCAAUAAUUCUUUUUUUUUUUUUUUUUUUGUAAUACAAGUUUUUUUUAUUAUGAUUUUUAAUUACGCCUUAUAAUUGAGAAUGAUAAACAUACCUUAGUUGAAAAGCAGUUUUCUUCACAGGCAAAACUAAAGGCACAAAAAGGCAACUAUCCACUGUGCUUUGAAUUCAGAUGGCUUGCAGCUCACAGGACGAUUCUCAAACUCUCAGAGUUAAACUUUGGCUGGGAAAAGAGAAAAAAGUAGUGCAUCUAGCAGAAGAGAUACGAGGUCUUUCAUCUCAUUAACCUUGUGAGUCUAUAAGUACCUGGCUGCUCGAGUACGUACUACGUAAAGACAAAAAAAAAAAAAGACAAUAGCAUUGUAUGUUAAUUCCUUGACACCUCGUCCCUGCCGUGUUUAUGUGAAUGAAGAGGAAAAGGGAGGAGGAAAGAAGACCGGCCCUUCACAGCUAUCCCAGCAUCUCAUGGUUUCAGGUUGCACUCAUGGAAGGUGCGGUUCAUCCAAAGCGCUGUACAGGAAUAUGCAGGCUUUAAAGUUCUGGCCAUCAGACUCGUCCUGCUCCUCUGCUGGAUCAAUAGUGUUCGGCUACAGCCACAAUAUCAUUUCAAUCACUUUGAUUGUGCUAAAGAUUGGACAGCUUCCAUGAUCAUUACCGCCCAUGUGCCACUGUGUGUUUGUGAAGCGUUUUACCUCAAAUAGCCUUUGACCCAUUGGGUUUUCAAUCUAUACACCAUAAAACCAUAAUGUACCAAAUCCUA